ncrna:Panagrellus redivivus microRNA prd-mir-7950a precursor (prd-mir-7950a-1, prd-mir-7950a-2)
GAGUUCAUCUGUUCCGCCGUUAAUGUAUAGUUCAUUUUGCCGGCGAAAGAGUUGAACUU